AGCAGCAUCCGUCCGCUCACUGGGGGAGUUGCUGAAUUCAGCAGGGCAGGAUGUUACCCCUCCAACAUCUGAGGGAGAAAUGGCUGCGAAAGCGGAAGCUGAGCCGCCAGACCCAGGGGGCAGGGCACAGGCGGGCCAAGGAGACACAGGCAGUCCUGCUGUCCUGCCGAAAGCGGCAGAGCAACAGAGAGGUCCUAAAACCCAGCCAAAAGCGGCAGAGAGUUCACCCCCCCCCCCUGCCGAACAGCGGGACGUCCGGCAGCAGCGCGGCUUCUGCGGUUUCAUCUCCUGCAAAGCCAAAGCCGGCCGGGGCGGCCCGGAAGCAGCCCCAAAAGAAGGAGAACAGGAGAAACACCAAGAUCUG